AAUUAAAGACUUUGGGAGCUCUACCAGUGUGCAGAUUUUCUUUCUGUUUUUGUCUGCUGUUCUUGAUUAUCCUGCACCUGGCCUAAUCAGGAUUGGAUGUGCGCACAACUACUAUUUUUACAGUUGAUUUUCCAUCACAUGAAAU